ACCAAGGAACCUGCUUAGCUGCGCACACUUGUUUAAACGCACGUGCCUUUGACCCCGUGAAGACUUAAAGAAGCUUCUGAAAAGCGGCCCUCUUCCCUACUAGCCCUAAUCUCUCUCUCUCUCUCUCUGUGUCUCGCGUAAAGUAAGCUAAUGGGGGAAGUGAUCGAACAAUUGCAGUGAUUACAGUGAAGCUCUGAAGGAAAUUCAAUCACGCAGUUUGGGAAUUCAGUUGAGAAGACAGAAACUUGACUGCAAUGGAAGUGCCACAAGGUAUUGUAUGAUAGAAGCCAAACGAUUGGGUACCCACAUGUGUGUCCUCUCUCUUCUUUGGUGGCAGGUUGGUGAUUAAAUCAUGAAACCAGGGACCAAAGAGAAGCCACUGCAAGGAAAGUUGAUGUGGUAAUGAGCUAUUUGUCGAACUUUUGAGAUGAAUUUGCUAUCUGUCAUUUUCCAGGCUAAAUGCACUUCAAAUAUUUUUCUUAAUAAAAUUUCACUGUGGAAAUGAUUAUACAAUGAAUGGAAAUCUGUUAUUGCUGUACACUAUGCACAUUAGUCUAAUCAUUGAUGAUGGAAUUUGUAUGCUACAGUUUCUAAAUCUAGAGAGCUUUCUUUGCUAUACAUUGCAAUUUAUUUAGAAUCUAGAGGUACUGCAAAUAGAAAGUAUUUAAUCCAGGACACACGUGGAAGGAACUUUUAUGAGUAUCAUCCAUGUUAGACUGUAGAGAAGACCAAAACUUGUCUGCACUGAAAGUGCCACAAAGUAUUGCAUAAGAGAAUCAAUACUCAUGAUUUGGUACCCAUGGGUGUCUCCUCUUUCUUCUUUGUUGGCUGGUUGGUUAUUCAAUAAUGAACCCAGUAACCUAAGGGAAGCCACUGCAAGGAAAGUUGUUGCAAUUAGCUAUUAAUCGAACCUCUGAAAUGAAUAUAUUUUGUGUCAUUUUCCAAGCUAAAUGCACUUCAAUUUUUUUUUUAAAAGCAAAUUUCACUGUUAAAACGAGUCAAUGAGGCUCAGGUGCAAGGAUAGCUUGAGAACACUAUAUUGCUGAUUAAUGUUUCUUGCUCUUUUGCCUCUAUUUCUACUUCAUACAUGUAUGUUUAUUUCAUGAACUUAAAUAAUUGGGAUACUAAAGAGUAAAAGAAAGAAGGGUUAGAGUUAUAAUGGGUUUUCGGUUGGUCUACGAUUGAUUUGGAGAGCUUUCAAGAGCUUUUGGUCGCAACGGAAUGGGACUUCUGAUGAUGCAAAGAUGAUAAAUCCUCAUCAGCUUGGCUUGUGAACUAAGCUGUGCUGUAUGGUAAAGAAACUCAUAUGACCAAACCGUAUUCUUUAUCCACCUUUUGAAGCUCGUACGCCUAAAAUGGCUUCUCUAUACUGCAUGACUUGCUUAUAUACGGGGAAUCUCAUUCACUGUGCUAUUUAUUUCGUUGGGGAUCUAUUUUUCCAGAUUUUCUUGGAAGCAUUUCAUAUAUAUAAUUUCUGAAAUGCUUUAAAGCUGGUAUCCUUCUGUUACUAAGGGGUUUGCUUCUUCUACUUUUCCUUUGAUUUUAAAAGCUUCUUUGUUUGUUUUUCUUCCAAUCAACCCUUAAUUCUGGAUUCUUGAAUACAAUUUUUUUUGUUGAAGUUAACUUGCAGGGUGAACUGAAAGGGAGAAAAAUAAAUAGAGUAGCACUCGACUGCCAUGUUUACAAGUACUAGAGUCCUUCCUCUGCUAUCUCCUCUACUCGACUGCUAUCUCAUUCAUUUGCAAUAUGGAAAAAUCUUGUCAUUGAAGUUUGCAUCAGAGACUGCCUCUGCUUUGGAAUCAACGGAUACCUUUGUGGAUUAUCAGAUUAAGCUUUGCCUCACGAUGAGAAAAUGAAAUGCCCGAACUUUACAAGUGAUUCUUGAGAGCUUUAAUAGUAACUUGGCUAAUCUGUUUACAGCUAUAGCACAAAUAUAGCUAGCUAACAUUUUUCCUGGAUCCUUAUAGCAUUCCUCUUCCUCCGUGUGUCUCUGACAAUAAUUUAAUUUAUUUUACGUACACAGAUUUCUUGCU